AUGUGCCUGAGCGUCUCGCGAGGACAUCUCCGGGAAUCUCCAGCUGCACCAGAAGCCCGCAGAUUGUUCUCUGAAAUGCUGGCACUCGGUCACACCCUUACCAGGAAGGUCACCGCCCCCACUGCCAACACCCUGGGACCCUGGAUCAGAAACCAUCCUAUAGAGAAACAUGGUAUUCCUAGCCUCACCCCGGAGCCUAAGGACACGUCAUCAGAAGUGGUAGGUUUGCAUCUACAGAGAUAUUUAGAGGAGAAGCAUCUCUUAAAACCUCUCUGCAAAAGUCCAGAAGUGGGGUGAAAUAGCUUGCAGAAAACCACACCGCGAUUGAAGUGGUAGAAUUCAGAUUCAAAUCCAGAUCAAGUGCAAAGACGAAGUUGGUGGGCCUUGAAUCACACCAGGCUUCCUAAGGUGAGAUACUGUGACGGCUGGCUGGGUCAGAGGGUUGAGGAAGCUGUGUGGGGUUCAGGAAAAGCCUCCACAGGAGACCUUCUGAAAGCAACUUGAGAACAUCAAUUCAUCGGUUGAAAUGAUAUACUGCUGAAACUCAUUGUUUUAAAAUAAGGCAUAUAUAGUUCUUUAUUAUAAGGUCAAGCAUUGUUCAAAGUGUCUUGCAAAUACUAGCCCAUUUCUGUGUGUUCAUUAAAACGUUUUCUGAAGCCAGCACCCUGCAAUUAUAGGCUUUACAAACUGCUACUGUAAUUCCAAGAGUGCCAAACCCAGUGGCUGACAAUGAGCCCCCAUCACUGACCAAGGAAAUCUGAGGGGUGCGGAAGCGGGCAGGAGGUGUGGAGGGGAUUCAAAGGAGUGGACAACGGGCUAUCGUUUUUCCUGUUUUCCUACAAAGUUACAGAGGAGGCUGGCAGGAUUAAUCUGUGACCUACUUACCUCUCAUGUCACAGGUUACUGGAUCUCUAAAGACUGUGGUUCUUGCUUGGUUUUUUGGAACAAAGAGAGACAGCAAUGACGGAGCCUGUGAGAUAAGCACUGUGGACUCCUGCUACAGUUUCUGCCACCUCUGGGGGAGUAGCUCCGGAAGUAGUCGCUGUGACUUGCCCGCCAGCCCGGUGCUCGUCCUACCGCCAGGGCACAGGCAGGCUCAGGCUUCCGGCCCUUCCUGAAGAGGGGCAAGGUAAGUUAUUUAUGAAAAUAAGGGAAGAGGAAUAAAAUAUUCCAAUGAUAAAGAACGAAGAUUUAUAAUAAUUAAAAAAACAACAACCCUU
rnacentral:lncRNA from 1 species